AGCAGCCGCGGUAAUUCCAGCUCCAAUAGCGUAUAUUAAAGUUGUUGCAGUUAAAAAGCUCGUAGUUGAAUUUCGGGAUUGACGUGAUGGUCAUGCCUUAAGGGGUAUGAACUGUUGCUGUUGAUUUCUCACCUUCUGGAGAAACUUGAUGUCCUUUAUUGGGUGUCUUGCGGAUCCAGGACCUUUACCUUGAAAAAAUUAGAGUGUUUAAAGCAGGCAUUUUUGCUCGAAUACAUUAGCAUGGAAUAAUAGAAUAGGACGGCAUGGUUCUAUUUUGUUGGUUUCUAGGAUCACCGUAAUGAUUAAUAGGGAUAGUUGGGGGCAUUAGUAUUCAAUUGUCAGAGGUGAAAUUCUUGGAUUUAUUGAAGACUAACUACUGCGAAAGCAUUUGCCAAGGAUGUUUUCAUUAAUUAAGAACGAAAGUUAGGGGAUCGAAGACGAUCAGAUACCGUCGUAGUCUUAACCAUAAACUAUGCCGACUAGGAAUCAGACGAUGUUAAUUUUUUAAUUGACUCGUUUU
rnacentral:rRNA from 1 species